rnacentral:tRNA from 2 species
GGGGUGUUAGCGAAGCUGGUUAUCGCGCUGGCCUGUCACGCCGGAGACCACGAGUUCGAGUCUCGUACAUCCCG